GACGUAGGGCGCGAGCGUUGUCCGGAUUUAUUGGGCGUAAAGAGCGCGUAGGCGGUCCGAUAAGUCGGCUGUGAAAGUCAAGGGCUCAACCCUUGAAAGCCGGCCGAUACUGUCGGACUAGAGUCCGGAAGAGGCGAGUGGAAUUCCCGGUGUAGCGGUGAAAUGCGCAGAUAUCGGGAGGAACACCAACGGCGAAAGCACUCUGCUGGGCCGACACUGACACUGAGAGACGAAAGCUAGGGGAGCGAAUGGG
rnacentral:rRNA from 1 species